UUCUAAUGAUGUUUCAUUAAUGAGUUUAGGUCAAUGCGGCUCUCAUGGGGUUUCUAGCCGAGAUAAUUCAAGCGAAAGCAAAUUGAGGGAUCUCCUCGAUGGCUCGAAAUAUGUGCUUACUUUUGGGAGUAAGUUCAUCUUUUCUGGUUUGAUUUUUAGGAGAAUGUCAGUUACUUGAAGGAAUUAUGUCACCACUGUUGCUUGCUUUUGUCGUUCUUUAUAAUUUUUUUAUUUUUAAUCUAAAAGAAAUAUAGGGCAACUUUAUAAUUAAAAAAGUUAGCAGUUUCCUCCAUUGGCCAUCAAUUUUUCCCUUUAAAAUGAGAAUGUUCUUUGUCUUUCAUAUGAACAGCCAAAAGAAUGUGAAAAAUAGCAAAGAAGUUUCGAAAUCAUUAGUGAAGAAUGUCCUUUGAUGUGGUAACAGAUAGUAGUAGACUAGUAAUAAUAGUGGCAUAUUUAAGUUACAACCUCGAUCUAAAAGAAGGGUAGAGUUUGAUGAAUGAGGAUCCAACCUCAUGUUAUCUGCUCUAAGCUGUGAGUUCUCACUUCUUUUAGUUUGAUACUGCAACAAAAUUUAAGUUAUUCAAACACAUACACUUUAUUUUUAGUUUGCUUUAUCAACACCACGUCCAAUUGUAUUAAAAUUUACCUUCACUUGAGUGCAUUUACCUCUUUGAAUAUUGAGGACUCUGUAUACUAGUACUACAGUUUGCUGGUUUGCAAAUUGCAAAGAAUACCUUAUCCUUAUUUGUAUUUUACUUUGUAGAGUAAGUACUAUGUACUAUGUAGGGUCUGAUCUCUGUGUUAGCCAUAGCAACUCAGUUAAAUGCAAUUUCUACUACAUCUGUUUGUAUGUAAUGCACUAAUGCAGUCAUCAUUCAUAGAUAUUGAAAUGAGAAAAUUUUAUUUA